rnacentral:rRNA from 1 species
AGUGGCGGACGGGUGAGUAACGCGUGGGUAACCUGCCUUACACAGGGGGAUAACACCUGGAAACAGGUGCUAAUACCGCAUAAGCGCACAGGGCCGCAUGGCCCGGUGUGAAAAACUCCGGUGGUGUAAGAUGGACCCGCGUCUGAUUAGCUUGUUGGCGGGGUAGGGGCCCACCAAGGCGACGAUCAGUAGCCGGCCUGAGAGGGUGGACGGCCACAUUGGGACUGAGACACGGCCCAAACUCCUACGGGAGGCAGCAG